AAAUUUUUUGUCGGAAUUUUUUUGGUGGAAAAUAUUUUGCGGGAAAUUUUGUCAAAACUUUUUGGCGGUUGUCAGAAAAUUUUGGCGGGAAAUUCUUUUUCGAGAAUUUUUGGAAAUAAAACCCUAAACCCUAAAACCCUAAACCCUAAACCCUAAACCCUAAACCCCAAACCCUAAAGAUUUUGUCGUUCUAGAGCUAUUUGUUGAUUUUUCUUUUUUUUUUUAAUUAUAAAUCAAUUUUUUUGUCAAUAUUUCUUUUACUAUUUCUGUCAAAAAAAUUUGGCGGGAAAUUUUUGUUGGAAUUUUUUUGGCGGAAAAUAUUAUAACGGGAAAUUUUUGACAAUAACUUUUUGUCAGAAAAUUUUCAAGGUAAAAUGUUUCACAGAAACUUUUUUGGAAGGAAAACCAUAAACCCUAAACCCCAAACCCUAAACCAUAAAUUCUAAACCACAAACCCCAAACCCUAAACCCUAAAGAGGUUUGCC
rnacentral:lncRNA from 1 species